rnacentral:rRNA from 1 species
CAGUCGCCGCGGGAAUACGAAGGGUGCAAGCGUUACUCGGAAUUACUGGGCGUAAAGCGUGCGUAGGUGGUGGUUUAAGUCCGUUGUGAAAGCCCUGGGCUCAACCUGGGAAUUGCAGUGAAUACUGGGUCACUAGAGUGUGGUAGAGGAUAGUGGAAUUUCCGGUGUAGCAGUGAAAUGCGUAGAGAUCGGAAGGAACAUCUGUGGCGAAGGCGACUAUCUGGGCCAACACUGACGCUGAGGCACGAAAGCGUGGGGAGCAAACAGGAUUAGAUACCCGUGUAGUCCCUGUCUCUUAUAC